rnacentral:lncRNA from 1 species
GGGAAUAAUGCUCUUGGGAAACCAGGCCCUACUUUUCCAGCCUCCCAUUCUGAGCUCUACAUGGGAGGCAUCUCUAUCGGGAGCUGAGUUUGGGAAGCCUAUGAACUGUGGGUCCUGCCAAGGACCUCAAAGCACUUACCCUCAGGGUAGGGACACAGCAGGGAUGCCCUGCCUCCAGGCUUUCUCCCCAGCUUGGCUCCAUUCCUCCGUUCUGCCAUCACAACUCCCCACAUCAGGUCACGCUUGCCUUCUGACCUUGUUCUGUUCUCCCACAAGGUCGUCCUGCCCACGGUACCUUAAGAGUGCCCAGCCUCACUGCUUUAGUGGCAUGCUGGGGCUCCCUUACAAGAGAGGCAAGUGUUCCUCAACUGUGGCCCCUCAGUCCUUAACUGGAAAGUGACCCUCUUCUACCCCCUGGAGUCCAUCUGGACACAGCCAGCCCGAGGCCCACUGGCAGCUGCCUGCUCGCAUGCCUGGGAAGAGGUCCUCAGUGAGUUGGGGCCAAACUUGGGCUCCAAGCUGCUUGAGGGGGUCGACCUUGGACCAAAGUUGCCUUAAGCCCCAAAUGUAGAAGGGCUUAGGGGAAGGUGUAAGGGCCACAGGCUGGAAGCUGACAGCCUAGCUGGCACUCCCUUCCUCUCUUCCUUCUGCUGUUCCUAUAGCCACUGGGCUAAUCUCCCCCUCGCUUUAAGCUGUAUAUAGGGCCCGCAGCACAGAUCCCUGCCCAUGCUGUACCCCUUAGCAGCCUGCGUGUUCAUAGAGCGUCUCCCUUCUGGUUAACUCCCUUUUCUCCAUGGCUCUGACUCCUAUUUAUCAUGUACUCACUCUGACUCUGAGGAAGGCAGGGAGGUGCCACCCAGCCUACUUGCUUCCUGUCCCCCAAAUGGUCCUCUUCGUAAGUGAAUAGACAUAUAAAUAAAUGUAUAAAUACGGCUUUGUAUCUGCACUUGCCUCUGGCAUCUUCUUCAGAUCGUUCUGGUGGGAGUCAUCUCAGACCAAGCUGACUAGAAUCUAGUCUGAGGGGCUUAGGAUUCCUGGCCACCACAGAAAAAGACUAGAAAGCUACUCCAUAUCUUUAUGUCCCUCAUCCUUGGACUUGGGCUGACACACAC